CUGGGUCAGUUGAAAGCCAGUUGAAUCAGUCAGCCGCCCAUAAAGCAUCCAUUCUUCUUUUGUUGUCUUGAAAGCUGUUUGACUGACUUUCUGGGCCUUUUUGCUUCUGAAGAUCUUUUGCAUAAUGUGCCGCUGGUGGCAUAGAAGGUAAAGUCAUGGAAAAGAGGGGAGGCAUCCUGAAGAUUUGUGCCCCCGCCACAUGCCUAGUUUUUAAAGAUGCUCCUUGGUUAUUUGACCUUUUUAACCCCCAUGCUGUGUGUUACACAAGCCAGCAAUUUCCCCAAGGAGUUUUCAGAUGAAUUUUCUGAGUUUUCAUUAUUGUCACCAUCCAAAUUGCAACAGAACUGCAACAGUUGGAGUCCAGUAGCAACAUCUGGAGGGAACCAGGUUUGGGGAGGCUUGAUGUAGAAGACAUCAGGGUAAUUUAGCAUCGUAACACUGGGUGACUGGACAGAGGCUUAUUUUGGCCCUGAACAAGGGCUGGAGACCUAUAGCACAGACUUGAGACCCCUGCUUCUCCCUUCUUCCACAGAAGAGCCAGAGUCUCCGACCUGAGAGCCAAGGCAGACGCCUCCCUCCCAGCGCAGCUGGAAGAAGAAUUCUGCGAUGAAAGCCUAUGGAGAGAUAGAUAGAUAGAUAGAUAGAUAGAUAGAUAGAUAGAUAAAUUUAUUGUCAUUGUCCGUAUAUACACAGUAUACACAACAACGAAAAUCAAACACCCAC